GGGGAUGAUUUGGUUUCGACUUCGCUUACUUUGCCAGGGGAAGCGUGCCGGUGCAGGCUGGAGACCACCGUAAGCGUCGCAGCAAUCAAAUAAACGCAGAGAAGAACUCUCAGCGUGACUACGCCCUCGCUGCCUAAUUCAGCGAGCCCGUGUCUGUCAGCCCGGGGAUGCCCUUGCCCCGGAUCCUGGCAUCAGUAAAAGGGAUUGCUUGGCCGCCGUGUCAGUGCGGUGGUCAGGGACUUUUUCACUGACUGGGCCCAUCAUCUGGACAUGUUCGCCUGAUCCAGAGGGCCGAUGAGAGAUCCGCGCGGACUGCGCACGGAGAAGCCCUGGUGCGGUGGCGAAGGACCCGGGUUCAAGUCCCGGCAUCUCCACCG
rnacentral:tmRNA from 1 species